UCAGGGCGGCCUACCAUGCAAGUCGAGCGGAUGAAGGGAGCUUGCUCCUGGAUUCAGCGGCGGACGGGUGAGUAAUGCCUAGGAAUCUGCCUGGUAGUGGGGGAUAACGUCCGGAAACGGGCGCUAAUACCGCAUACGUCCUGAGGGAGAAAGUGGGGGAUCUUCGGACCUCACGCUAUCAGAUGAGCCUAGGUCGGAUUAGCUAGUUGGUGGGGUAAAGGCCUACCAAGGCGACGAUCCGUAACUGGUCUGAGAGGAUGAUCAGUCACACUGGAACUGAGACACGGUCCAGACUCCUACGGGAGGCAGCAGUGGGGAAUAUUGGACAAUGGGCGAAAGCCUGAUCCAGCCAUGCCGCGUGUGUGAAGAAGGUCUUCGGAUUGUAAAGCACUUUAAGUUGGGAGGAAGGGCAGUAAGUUAAUACCUUGCUGUUUUGACGUUACCAACAGAAUAAGCACCGGCUAACUUCGUGCCAGCAGCCGCGGUAAUACGAAGGGUGCAAGCGUUAAUCGGAAUUACUGGGCGUAAAGCGCGCGUAGGUGGUUCAGCAAGUUGGAUGUGAAAUCCCCGGGCUCAACCUGGGAACUGCAUCCAAAACUACUGAGCUAGAGUACGGUAGAGGGUGGUGGAAUUUCCUGUGUAGCGGUGAAAUGCGUAGAUAUAGGAAGGAACACCAGUGGCGAAGGCGACCACCUGGACUGAUACUGACACUGAGGUGCGAAAGCGUGGGGAGCAAACAGGAUUAGAUACCCUGGUAGUCCACGCCGUAAACGAUGUCUACUAGCCGUUGGGAUCCUUGAGAUCUUAUUGGCGCAGCUCACGCGAUAAGUCGACCGCCUGGGGAGUACNGCCGCACCGUUAGGACUCACAUGAAUUGACUGGGGCCCGCACAAACAAUGGAGCAUGUGGUUUAGUCGAAGCAACACCAAAAAACAUACCUGGCCUUGACAUGCUGAGAACUUUCAGAGANGAAUGUUGCCUGCNGCACUCGGAAACAAGUACUGCAUGGCUGUCGNCNACUCCUGUCGUGCCNGCUCGGAUAAGUGCGGUAACUACCGAAACAUGUCCUACUUACAGCACUGGGGGG
rnacentral:rRNA from 1 species